rnacentral:rRNA from 2 species
GGCUCCUUCGGGGGUACUCGAGCGGCGAACGGGUGAGUAACACGUGAGUAAUCUGCCCUGUGCUCUGGGAUAGCCACCGGAAACGGUGAUUAAUACCGGAUAUGACCGCUACACGCAUGUGUUGGUGGUGGAAAGUUUUUCGGCGCAGGAUGUGCUCGCGGCCUAUCAGCUUGUUGGUGAGGUAAUGGCUCACCAAGGCUUUGACGGGUAGCCGGCCUGAGAGGGUGACCGGUCACACUGGGACUGAGACACGGCCCAGACUCCUACGGGAGGCAGCAGUGGGGAAUAUUGGACAAUGGGCGGAAGCCUGAUCCAGCAACGCCGCGUGAGGGAUGACGGCCUUCGGGUUGUAAACCUCUUUCAGUACCGACGAAGCGAAAGUGACGGUAGGUACAGAAGAAGGACCGGCCAACUACGUGCCAGCAGCCGCGGUAAUACGUAGGGUCCGAGCGUUGUCCGGAAUUAUUGGGCGUAAAGGGCUCGUAGGCGGUUUGUCGCGUCGGGAGUGAAAACAGCGGGCUUAACUCGUUGCUUGCUUCCGAUACGGGCAGACUAGAGGUAUGCAGGGGAGAAUGGAAUUCCUGGUGUAGCGGUGAAAUGCGCAGAUAUCAGGAGGAACACCGGUGGCGAAGGCGGUUCUCUGGGCAUUACCUGACGCUGAGGAGCGAAAGUGUGGGGAGCGAACAGGAUUAGAUACCCUGGUAGUCCACACCGUAAACGUUGGGCGCUAGGUGUGGGGUCCUUUCCACGGAUUCCCGUGCCGUAGCUAACGCAUUAAGCGCCCCGCCUGGGAGUACGGCCGCAAGGCUAAAACUCAAAGGAAUUGACGG